AUUGAACGCUGGCGGCAUGCCUAACACAUGCAAGUCGAACGGCAGCACAGCAGUAGCAAUACUGUGGGUGGCGAGUGGCGGACGGGUGAGGAAUACGUCGGAAUCUGCCCAGUCGUGGGGGAUAGCUAGCCGAAAGGUUAGCUAAUACCGCAUACGACCGAGAGGUGAAAGCGGGGGACCGCAAGGCCUCGCGCGAUUGGAUGAGCCGACGUCGGAUUAGCUAGUUGGCGGGUAAAGGCCCACCAAGGCGACGAUCCGUAGCUGGUCUGAGAGGAUGAUCAGCCACACUGGAACUGAGACACGGUCCAGACUCCUACGGAGGCAGCAGUGGGGAAUAUUGGACAAUGGGCGCAAGCCUGAUCCAGCAAUGCCGCGUGUGUGAAGAAGGCCUCGGUUGUAAG
rnacentral:rRNA from 1 species